rnacentral:ncRNA from 1 species
ACACACACAAAAGGGAGAGACGGUUAGCACUCCCCUUGGCAAGGACGGAAGAGACCAGUCGAUCUUUCUAAUACACGGGCUUUGUUCUCUACUUUAGAGCAACCUAUUUUUCUU